ensembl:misc_RNA Y_RNA Y RNA
GGCUGGUCAGAGUGCAGUGGUGUGUACAACUAGUUGAUCACAACCAGUAACAGAUUCCUUUGUUCCUUCUCCACUGCCACUGCUCUUCACUUGACUAGCCAAAU